UGAAACUUACUCUUCGGCUGUUCACCAUUUGUCCCUGCAACUUCCUCGCUCACCGUGAUUACUUACAAUAAUGGGAUCCUCCUGGAAAUGAACAUGAACCUGUUGCUGUUUUAAUCUAUCUGGUCACUCCAAUUGGGAAGAGGUGCCGUCACUCCUGAUAGGUAUGACUAUCCAGGGCCAAAAUUCCACAGCAAGAAGCUGCUGGGCCUGUCCCCAGCUCAGUGGAAAUGUCUGCGCAAGGUCACAUGAUUUCCAUGCCAAGCUAGACCUUCAUUCUACAAGAUGCCCUGGGUUUCAGCAGCAGAAAAGAAACUCUGCAGCAGCUUUAGGGCUAUGCUGUAUGCAACUCCCAAGAGGCUAGAUGUAAGAAACUUCAAGGGCCUCCCUACUUUGUUUGUAAUUGCAAGGUAAGACAACAAAAGUGCCCAAACUUGAAAAUACUCUUGUGUAGAGCUGUAUGUUGUGCCAAAAAAGUUGUGAUCCCAGGAGCUGUCAGUGGCUUGCAAGGUUCACUGAAGAGUAUGGUGAAAGCACAGGGUUAGGAGUUUCUGAUCUGUAUGA